rnacentral:rRNA from 1 species
UACGGAGGGUGCGAGCGUUGUCCGGAAUCAUUGGGCGUAAAGGGCGCGUAGGCGGCUUGGUAAGUCGGGGGUGAAAGUCAGCGGCUCAACCGCUGGACUGCCUUCGAGACUGCCUGGCUUGAGCAUGGUAGAGGCUGGCGGAAUUCCCGGUGUAGCGGUGGAAUGCGUAGAGAUCGGGAAGAACAUCGGUGGCGAAGGCGGCCAGCUGGGCCAUUGCUGACGCUGAUGCGCGACAGCGUGGGGAGCAAACAGG